UAGUCCACGCCCUAAACGAUGUUCACUGGAUGUGUGAUAUUAAUUGCGCAUCUGAGCGAAAGCAUUAAGUGAACCACCUGGGGAGUACGUCGGCAACGAUGAAACUCAAAGGAAUUGACGGGGGGUCCGCACAAGCGGUGAAGCAUGUGGUUUAAUUCGAUGAUACGCGAGGAACCUUACCUAGGCUCGAACGCUAUUCGACAUCACCUGAAAGGGUGUUUCUCUUCGGAGUGGAUAGUGAGGUGCUGCAUGGUUGUCGUCAGCUCGUGCCGUGAGGUGUUGGGUUAAGUCCCGCAACGAGCGCAACCCUUAUUCUUAGUUGCCAGCAUGUAAUGAUGGGGACUCUAGGAAGACUGCCGGCGUAAGCCGUGAGGAAGGUGGGGGACGACGGUCAAAUCAUCAUGGCCUUUAUGCCUAGGGGCUACACACGUGCUACAAUGGUGCAUACAGCGGGGUAGCGAAAUCGCGAGGGUGGGAGCUAAUCUUGUAAAGU
rnacentral:rRNA from 1 species